GCGUUUAUUACACAUAAUUUCUUUGAAUAACUGAUAUUGUACCCCAUAUAAAAUUGUCUUAACCAAUGCCUUCAAACUCUCAAGAGGAAAUAGCACAGGAAGAGUAAAAUACAGAAAUAAUGACAUAGGCUGAUGCAGUUAAAUUGAACCCUGCAUUUUUUACUAGGGGUGUACAUAUGUGAAAAUCACUACAAUACGAAAAAUGUUAAAUCCUGAACCCAUACUUUCAAAGGUGUAAUGAAUUCAAUGGUAAGAACCUAAAGGGUACUAGAGUGUUCAUAUGUGAAAAUCACUACAAUAUGAAAAAUAUUAAAUUGUGAACCCAUAGUGUCAAAAGUGUAAUGGAUUCAGUGGUAAGAACCUAAAGGUUGAACCCAUCAAAUUUAAAUCUU
rnacentral:lncRNA from 1 species